AUUUUUCUUUGUAGCUCAGAUUCCCAAGCCUGUGACUUUGAGAAUCUUUGUCUCCUUUGCAACGUUUCAAUCUGAGGCUCUUGGGAGAGGGCAGAGUUAGAGCCAGAUGGAAGAGUUGUGGGGAGAGGAGUGGGUGGAGGGAACAUGGAGAAAGUUUCAGGCGGUGUCUUUAUUCCUGGCACCUUACUUUGCCUACUGGAGUUUCCCAGUCUGUUCCAGACGCACUCUCUAGACCCUGAGGGGGCUUGAGGAAGCAUGUUAGUUGGCAUUAUGGUACAUUGCUACUUUUGAAUCCCUUAUUUUUUUAGCUGCAUUUUUCCCCCUCCUUUUAUUGAUUGAUUGACACAGAGUCUCGCUGUGUCACCCAGACUGAACUGCAGUGGCACAAUCUCAGUUCAUUGCAACCUCUCC
rnacentral:lncRNA from 1 species